CGGGGUGUAGCUCAGUGGUAGAGUGUGUGCAUGCAUGAGGUCCUGGGUUCAAGCCCCAGUAUCUCGA
rnacentral:tRNA from 1 species